UCAACUGUCGGGAGACGAACCUUCUGUGUACAUCAUACUCGUACGUGAUUGAGGGUAUUUUGGCGCCUCUAAACGCACGCCACUCAACCGACAAUACUGCACUGUUUUAUGCAUGCGUGGACGCAGCGUACGGCGGCCGGAGUGACACCGAACUUGGUAUUUUGUUGCGCGCGGAUUUCUUCUUUUAUCAUUUCAUCCGAUUUAUGGUAUUGUUGGGUUGAUUUGCUAGGAUAUUUAUACAGCAACACGUGAUACCCAUCUCCAUUGGAGGAUAUUUUUGUUGAUUGUUUUGUUUGACAGGACACUUGAGGCUCCAGUGAGUGUCGUCGAUAAUUAUAUUUCCUCUUUUCUCAUCGCUUGGAUAAAGUUUUGUGUCAUGCAAUUUACUCGCUUUUAACUGCUCUUCGAAAUCAUUGGCAUUCAAAUUGCUUUCACCCUGGUGUUAAAUUGAAAGGAUAAUCAUUGGAAAGCACUCAAAUUUGAACGAUUUCUGCAUACUUGCUACCGAUGAUGUCGGAAAACUACCCCGUUGGUACUGCAGUGGCCGUAAUUUGAUGCACAUAAUUCUGAUUCCUCCCCCUCCCAGGUUGGUUGUAAAUCAUUGUUAACGAUGCUACGUGGAAGUUAAUGUUCAAUUUUGAAUGUGAUCCAGAGCUACAACAUGGUAACAUCCAACUAGAGACCAUCUAGUCGCGAAAGAUCUAAGGCCAGUUUACCAUGACAGCAUUGUCCUUCUUGGGCGGAAAGCGAUGAUGUGCAAGCGGGCGGCCUUUAUUUUUAGAUGACCAUAACAAAAGUUUAUAUUGUUCCAGCUGUACCACGUGAUUGAUCAAAAGGUGUCAAGACUACAACAGUGUGUUGUGCAUACAUUCAAAGCGCAAGUGAUAUGCGCUGGACUUCGUCCCAACGGACGUGUAUGGAUUCGCAGCGCUUAUCUUUGCGACUGUUAUCAAGUUCACUACCAAUAUCCGGUCAAGGAAGGUGUCCUUCGGGAACAGUAUAAAAAGCGAUCUGCCUUUUGAUGUGAUCUAUACAAUCAAGAUACACGUUAUUGCAAGAAAUUGACUGUGUCCGAGUCCCCAAGGUCGGAUAAUCACUCUCAUAAUUCUGAAAUGCGAGAAAAGUUCUGCGUAUACAGAGUUAAAUUAAUUCUG